rnacentral:RNase_P_RNA from 1 species
UAGCAAGUACGCUCUAUCGCUGCCCCGCAAGGGGGAGAGGAAAGUCCGAGCAACACAGAGCACCGUACGAGUUAACGGCUCGAUGUCCGCGAGGGUGUAGUAGUGUAACAGAAAAUAACCGCCAGGGGGGCGAGACGCAAUUUUUUCAUAGGGCUUUAUGUUCGAUGGUGUUGUAAUUGUUUUUUCGUCAAGCCUCCUGGUAAGGGUGAAAAGGUGGGGUAAGAGCCCACCGCAGCGGCAGCAAUGUCGUCUGGCAGUACGCCUUACGGGUUGCAAGACCAUAUAUACCGACAAUUAAGGGUUGCUCGCCCAAUGUCGGGGGGUAGGUUGCUAGAGGCUGUGGGUGACCACAGUCGUAGAUAAAUGAUAGAGGCUCUCCCUCGGGGGAGUACAGAACUCGGCUUAUAGUAUUUGCUAUUGA